ACUCAUGGACAGUAGCGUUCAGGGACAGAGGCGCUUGUUUGGGCUUUAGAUGCAUGAGCCGUGGCACCCCAAGCCCAGCUUGGUAAAGGAGUCAGCUCCAGUCUGGGGUAGAGGAGCUUUCCCAGUUGUCAUGGGGAGCUUGUCUGGGAUGCCUGUCUGGCCCUUCCACUGUUUGUUACUAUUUCUACAAAGGCAGCUCUGUGUGUUGGAUUAUGUUUGGCCAGCUGUUGACACAUUCCUGCGGGUGGGGUUGGGUGGGGAUCUUAUUACUGUACUGUCCAAACUGUAGAUCUGUGUGCACGCACGGGGAGCAGGGAGGGAAUGGAAAGAAAGCAGGUUGGAGCUGCUGAUCCCUCUUAGCGCUCCCUCCAGAUAGUACUAGAGCCAAUCCAGAAAGGCUCAAAGUGGGAAGAAGGAGAAGAGAGGACGAUGGGGGGAGGGGAGCAGUGAGGGAAAGAGAGUGAAACUGAGCAAGCACAUAAGUGAGAAAAACAGACUCAGAACUUCAAAGCUGCAGAGACAAGCAGAAUGUCAGCAGCUUGUAAUUAGUGGUUCAUGGUUGCGUCAGUAACUGUAUCUCUCCAAGAAUAACUAUGUGAUGUGUGCCACAAAGUGCAGAAGACAGUCAUAACCGAGUUAUCAAACCCGGUUCAAACAAGGGCAAAUGAAUUAGGGAAUCUUCUAUGUUUGUAAAUCAAAUACUGAUGGAUUACACAUUUGAGAUUUGCUGAAUUCUGCAUAAUUGAAGGCUGAAUUAUUUAUUCAUUGGGGAGGUGGGGAUACUGUGUAUUCAUUAAAUGAAACUGUGGACCCUUAAAAAUGCAGAUUAAUUGUGUAAGAAAAUAUUAGCACUUUGCCCCAUCAGUGCAAGAUAUUCCCCCAAAUAGCCCAAAACAGCACUGCUCGUCUCCCUUAUCUCUGCAUCCUCAGGAAGUGUUUGUUUACGUGUUUUUGUGCAUUAACAUGGAGAGGAGUUAAAAGCUAUAUUCUGAUAAAUUGGGUCAAUUGAAUUUGAAAAUGCCCAUUUUAGAAUUUGAAAACUCCUGUGGGGUUCUGCUUUUUGUUGCUAGCCCUGGUAUAAACCUUGAAGGAGCCUUGGUUGUCCUGAAGCCAAACAGCAGUGCCUGAAUAACCCCAGGCCAAGUUGGGGCACCACCGUGGUUGAGAUUCUAAGGCCACGUUUUCACUUCCCUCCCUUGUCUCUGGUUCUUAGCGAUUGCGGUGCGCCCACAGCCCCCACAGAGACACGGUGGGAGGAGCUGAUUGGUUGGUAGGCUUAGGAUGUUUACUCUUAUUUGUUUUCAGCGCUCCUCCACGGCAUUCAUUGCCUAUUUGUAUUUGUGUUCACACUGCACAAUUACUCCACACCCGCUUUGUUUCUCUGCCCGAAGAGAAGUCAAUUUCAGUUCAGCCCCGCUCUCUCUCGGCUUCCUGGGUAAUACGCGCAUAUGUAUUACGUUACCCGUUUAUGCAUUUCCCUUUUUAAUGUGGAUUAGGGAGACGCGCAGGCAGGGGAAAGCCCUGUAUAUUAAAUCAAUAGCUUUUUGAAUCCCACGUAAUAUAAUUUAAAUAUACUUACUCUGAGGUUGCCAAAGCUGACAUUGUCGGAGCCCGUUUAAUUUACAUCUUCGAUUUAGUCAAGGAGCGGAACCUGCCAGAUCAGAAUAGCUCAUUCUGUGCACCCAACAGGGUGGAAGACAUUAUUUUGUUUGUGUUCGUUCAAACAGCUGGUCAUUAAUGCAGUCCCCAUUUCGGGACUGAAGUGCUGGUGGACGUGAAUGGCUGCCUGAUUAAUGCUGCCCCUCCGUGGGUCCUUCACCCAGCAGUCAUGCCCGAAGCAGAAUAAUGUAGCAUGAUGUGAUUGCUCUCUAACAGGGUAGUAUGUCAUUGUGUCACCAAGCAAUUGAGGUUAUUAUGGGGCAGGGCAGACAGACGGGACAGUGGGGUUACUAGACCGUAGCAUUUUUAGAAAUACAGGCCUGACCUACUUAGAGUUAUUCUCUCUGGCUGGCAGCUGCAUGGUACAUAAAGUCUUCCUGAUAGGCUGAGGCUGUUGCUAGGGGGAAUUAGCAUGAAUUUUUCCACACACAGACUCAGUGACUGAAUGAUAAAAGCUGACUGGAAUUAAGGAGAUUUGGUUUAGUAUUAUACAGAUUUAUCUGCCCUGGUUUUUUCUUUCUCAAGUGCAGAGGAAGGGUGCAAAAUACAGAUUUUUGCUUCCAUUAUUCUUCGUUGACCCUCCUGUUCUCCCCACCCGAAGAGGCACCAGAGCAGGGCAGUUAUGAAAUUUUGGUUAAUGGCUUAGGGUUGGGGUCAUGGAAACGAUG
rnacentral:lncRNA from 1 species